rnacentral:tRNA from 7 species
GGGCCGGUAGCUCAGUCGGUAGAGCAUCGGACUGAAAAUCCGAGUGUCGACAGUUCAAUUCUGUCCUGGCCCACCA